rnacentral:rRNA from 1 species
GAUGAACGCUGGCGGCGUGCCUAAUACAUGCAAGUCGAGCGAACAGAUAAGGAGCUUGCUCCUUUGAAGUUAGCGGCGGAAGGGGGAGUAAAACGUGGGUAACCUACCUAUAAGACUGGGAUAACUUCGGGAAACCGGAGCUAAUACCGGAUAACAUUUAGAACCGCAUGGUUCUAAAGUGAAAGAUGGUUUUGCUAUCACUUAUAGAUGGACCCGCGCCGUAUUAGCUAGUUGGUAAGGUAACGGCUUACCAAGGCGACGAUACGUAGCCGACCUGAGAGGUUGAUCGGCCACACUGGAACGGGGACACGGCCCAGACUCCUACGGGAGGCAGCAGUAGGGAAUCUUCCGCAAUGGGCGAAAGCCUGACGGAGCACCGCCGCGUGAGUGAUGAAGGGUUUCGGCUCGUAAACCUCUGUUAUUAGGGAAGAACACAUGUGUACGUAACUGUGCACAUCUUGACGGUACCUAAUCAGAAAGCCACGGCUAACUACGUG